GCCGCCCUUUUUGGAUUCGAUAGAAUGCGAGUUGAGAGUCGUAAGGACUCGGCAGACCGCUCAGUAACACGCGGAUAACAUGCCCUUGGGUGGAGGAUAAUCUCGGGAAACUGAGGAUAAUACUCCAUAGAUCUACUAUGCUGGAAUGCUUGUAGGUCCAAAACUCCGGUGCCCAAGGAUUGGUCUGCGGCGUAUCAGGUAGUAGUGGGUGUAACGGACCCACUAGCCGAUGACGCGUAAGGGCCUUGAGAGAGGGAGCCCUGAGAUGGACUCUGAGACAUGAGUCCAGGCUCUACGGGGCGCAGCAGUCGCGAAAACUUCACAAUGGGGGAAACCCCGAUGAGGGAAUUCCAAGUGUCAGCACUUUGUGUUGACUGUUCUCCAGUCUAAAAAACUAGAGAAGUAAGGGCCGGGUAAGACGGGUGCCAGCCGCCGCGGUAAUACCCGCGGCCCGAGUGGUGGUCGAUAUUAUUGAGCCUAAAACGUUCGUAGCCGGUCUUGUAAAUCCUUGGGUAAAUCGGCCAGCUUAACUGUCCGAAGUCCGGGGAGACUGCAAGACUUGGGAUCGGGAGAGGUCAGAGGUACUUCUGGGGUAGGGGUAAAAUCCUGUAAUCCUAGAAGGACCACCGGUGGCGAAGGCGUCUGACUAGAACGAAUUCGACGGUGAGGAACGAAGCCCUGGGGCGCAAACGGGAUUAGAUACCCCGGUAGUCCAGGGUGUAAACGCUGCGGGCUUGGUGUUGGGGGUCCUUAGUGGGCGCCCAGUGCCGGAGAGAAGUUGUUAAGCCUGCUGCUUGGGGAGUAUGUCCGCAAGGAUGAAACUUAAAG
rnacentral:rRNA from 1 species